rnacentral:lncRNA from 1 species
GAUGUUUUCCCAGUGGGUGGGGGGCAGAGGGGACGGCAGGCUCUGCUGACAGAUGAUUCCUCUGCCCUCCACCCUCGUCCCCCAGAGAGCCCCAGGAGACGGGAAAGGUCCAGCAGAGGCCAAGGGCUCCAGAUGAGAUUCGCGGCAUUUUGCCCGAUUUCAAUCUAUCACACGUCCCCUGAGAGCUGUUCCUGAGCCUCCCACGCAUGCAGGACACGUACCGACUGAUAGCCCAGGGCAUGGCAACAUGCUUUUAGCGAACCUUCUCUUGUGUCCAGGCUCUCAGGGUGAGAUAGAAAAAGUGGAGACGGGCUCCUCGCCCUUGGGAGCUCGGCCGGCACUCCCCCCACAAGCCCAGAGCAAAGAGACGGUGGGAUUGUGCGGCAAAAACGAGUUCCGAAGAGAAUUGGGUUGGAGGCGCCAGACCCAGAUUGGUCUCGGCGUUGGGAUUCAGCUGUCGUGUGACCUUGGGGCCCAGGUUUAUUAUUUUCUCCAUCGGUUCAUCAAUCAACAAACAUUAAGUACCUACUAUGUGCUGGUCGUCAGCCUCAGAGCAUGGAUUCCUUGUCAGAGUUACUAAAUGGUGACUAAGAGUCACAUCGCCCAAGUUCCAGGCCUUUCAUGUGGGAGGCUCUCUGUCUAUGUAAAGGAACAUUUUUUCCUGGCUCGGCCUCUUCAUAGUCAUCCUGGGUUCUUUGCGUCUUCAAAGUGCCGCUCUGGUGCUGAAUAAUUAAUUCUCCGUCUGCUCCUGGGAAAGGGAAUAAAUAAAUGUACCUUUUAUAGGGCGAUGAGGGC